rnacentral:rRNA from 1 species
GACAGAGGUGCCGAGCGUUAGGCGGAAUCACUGGGCUUAAAGCGUGUGUAGGCGGGUCCGUAAGGACCUUUUGAAAUCCCACGGCUCAACCGUGGAACUGCUUGGUAUACUGCGGAUCUUGAGCCACCUAGGGGCAAGUGGAACAAACGGUGGAGCGGUGAAAUGCGUAGAUAUCGUUUGGAACGCCAAUGGUGAAAACAACUUGCUGGGGGUGUGCUGACGCUGAGACACGAAAGCCAGGGGAGCAAGCGGG